AAGAGACAAAAAAGUACACAAACAAAAUACAUUUGUUCUCCGCGCGUUUGCUUUGUGCGUUGAUUUUUUUCCACUUCUCACUUAAUUAAAAAGUGAGAAAUAACCCUCCGAAUUAAUAAAUUAAACGCCAAACAACAGACUCCGAAAGAGUGACAGGGAAUCGAACCUUGAAAAGUUAGCGUCGUGCACUGAAAUAAAAGUGGAACAAAAUUGGUAGAAAAAGAAUUAGAAGAAACUGGAAUACAGAUAGAACAGGAAGAAUUAGUUUAUGAGGAAAUUCAACCAAAUAAAUCGUCAUUAAAUAUGUACUUUUAGAAAAUCUACAGCAGAAGAAUGCCGUUGUUCGUGAUCAAUUGAACGCCCUUGCAAAAAUAUAAGCUGAUCAAACUAUUUUAAUAAAACAGCUUAUAAAGGAGAAGGGGGAGAUGAAUUCUGUUCAGUUGAAGAAAAUGGAGGAGAAUGUUAAAAUCAAUACAGACAUUUAUAUUUCAACAAUAAAAUCAAUUUUACAGCCAGCUGGAGUUCCCGUUAACUUAAAAUUCAUUUUAAGCGAAAAAAAUAGUACUGGCGUAUAAUGUGGAUGGGGUACAAGGGAAGAAAGCCUUCAGGAGCCACUCGGAUUUUUAUGGAGCAUUGCUAGAAUGUAUUCCUGGAGACGAAGCCCCGGAAUGCGUACCGGAGAUGCGCAAAGCUAUGCAGAGGGUUAAAAAACGAGUUUUUAAGCAAAGGUGUACCAAACCAAAAAUGAAUUAGAGACCGUGUAGGCUAGGCUAGAUUUUAAUAUAUAUUUUAAUUUUGAAUUAAAC